AACGAACGCUGGCGGCAUGCCUAACACAUGCAAGUCGAACGGGACCUUCGGGUCUAGUGGCGGACGGGUGCGUAACGCGUGGGAACCUGCCCUUAGGUUCGGAAUCACUCCCCGAAAGGGGUGCUAAUACCGGAUGAUGUCAUCGGACCAAAGAUUUAUCGCCUUUGGAUGGGCCCGCGUUGGAUUAGCUAGUUGGUAGUGUAAAAGCCUAGCAAGGCGUCGAUCCAUAGCUGGUCGGAGAGGAGGCCCAGCCACACUGGGAAUGAGACCCGGCCCAGCACCGUACGCGAGGCAGCAGUGGGGAAUACUGGACAAGGGGCGAAAGCCUGACCCAGCCACGCCGGGGGAGUCAUGAAGGCCUUAGGGUUGUACAGCUCUCUGACCCGGGAUGAGAAUGACAGUACCGGGAGAAUAAGCUCCGGCUAACUCCGUG
rnacentral:rRNA from 1 species